UGUUCUAACGAUUUAAUUAGGCCUGCACAGAGAGCAGAGGCUUCUCAGGUAAGCGAAGCAGCAAGAGAGGACAUAGCCCAGGAUGGAAUCUUCUCUUUUUACAGAAACAGAGCAGGUGCAGCAAGACUGAUACCAGCAGAGCCUGGAGCUGUAUCUGCUCAGAGUAUCGAGCAGUCUCCCAGGGAGAAGCCAGCCUGCUCAGCCUCCAUUGUAGGUUGUUUUAGUGAUCGAUUAGGUGUAAGACAAGAGGGAGCUCAGCCCUGAGGUUGCAAAGAAGCCACCUCUCUGAAAAGUCAAAAUAAAAAAGAACAUGGAGGAAAAAUCACUUGGAGAAACUUUGGCUGCAGACGUGAAGCUACUAUUUAAUCCCAGUAGAGAGACAUCGUCAUCUGUGACAGUUUAUGAAGACCAUUGUCUUCUGAGGAACUGAGGACCCUCUACAGAUAAUAACAGUUUAAAGGCACUGCUUUUGAAGCAGCACUUCUCUGGGCAACUUGAGUUCCCUGUGUCAACUGGGCAGCCCAGCCCUUGCAAGAUUGCUCUCUCCUGCAGACCCUGAGACAGCCAAAGCAAUCCGGAGGAGCAGGUCAUGCAGAGCUGCACAGUGGGCUGACACAGGGCGGGCUGGGUGGCAGAGACCUCUUCAGCAAGUGUCCCUUGAUCCUGAAGAGGCCUGAUCCUGCUUUCAGUGUUAGCAGAGGUAACACCACCCCUCUGCAGUGCAUUGCUGAAUUGGGCCACGAAAAAUGAAGUGGUACUGCUGUGACUAUCCAUAAUUUUUGUGCAGCUGCUGGGCCAGUCUGACACAGCAAGGCUAGGGGAAAGAGGCAUUAAAGAUUUGAGGUGAAGCUGGUCCUACUGCAAACAGGAAACUGGUGUCUCAUAAGCACAAAGCUUUGCUGCAGUGACGCCAAGCAGGGCAUUUUACAGCUGCAACUUGAACAGCAGAAAAACUCCAUCCUUCUCAAGAGAAAAAAGUUUUGACCAUGUGUGUUUUCCCUUUCUGUGGUAGGUAGCAUGGUUCACUGACUGCUCUGAUGCAAAAAUUCACUGGUGAGUGCUGGCAGCUGGUAAAAAUCAGCGGUGCAAGGAACGGCAAUCCCUUGGGCCAUGCCUGUGUGCAGUGGUGCAGACAGAUGCUGCACACACAUGUUCACGUAUACACAUAUGUUCAGUCUCACUUUCUUCUAACAAACUCAGUCUGAUGAAAGCUGCUGCAUGGCAAAGCCAGCAGAAGAGGCAGUGCAGUGUGGGCAGAGCAGAGUACUGGUUUGCAAGCCUGCAGCCUGUGGGUUGCACGGUGACACCGGGUGAGCAUUGCAGUGCUCUGCACUCCUGGUGCCCCCUCUAAUUAAAUUGACGGCUCCUCAGAGCAGAGGCUGCCUGUGUGCAGAUUUGAACAAUGAGGUUUUGAUCUUGUUUGAGGUCCCUCGGCACUGCAUUAAUGCUAUUAUAUUAAUCAUAUUAUAUGAUUUACGGUCACAUCAGUAGGACAGUUUUUAAGAAGAACAACCCUGUGAUGAAAGGACAGGGCUGAGGAUGGGAAGUUAAAAGAUCUAGACCAGAUUUCUGUUACAAUUUUGAGCUGAUCAUUUGUUCCUUUAACUGGCAUACAACCGCAGCUUGCACAGGUUAGUGAUCGUUGAACUAAGAUUUGUAGAUAUUCUCUCUAGAUUGCUCUAUUGCUGUUGUCAUUUAUUUUGUCUCUGGCUGUGACACAGUUAAUCCAUUUAAGCUCAUGUUACCCUGUUAAAAGCCGAUGUAAUUUACCAUUCAUAAGCAGAAGGCAUUCUCCCAGGGGUUUGAAUCUGAGAAUGAGCAGGCUGCCAGCCACAGCGGGGAGAGAGGUGAGGUGCAGAGAGGAUCCCCUUGGCAGGCAGGAGGGUAGAGAUUUCACUGUCACUGUUUUGGAUUGCCACAUGUGGCUGAACUUUGAAUUGUCAUUUCCUUUGUUGUUGAAGAUGGGGGUUGUGCUAGAAGAACUGGGACAGCAAAUACCCCCGCCUUGAGCCCUUACACAGAUGCCUGUGCUUAUGAGCCAACCCUAAUAUAGCAAACCCAGAACUAUUUGUCUGUGCAAGGAUGAUUAGUGUUGGAUGUGCUGUAAUUAAAACACGCUCAUCGUGUUGGCUGGGGCACUGGUCCAUAACCUGGAGGUUGGCAUGUCCUUUGGCACAGCCCAGAGUCAGACUGCCACUCAGGUAGCAGCCAGGCAUGGCCCAGUGUCAGCUGGAAGACGCUGCUGUCUGUGGGCAGCUGGGACAUGGCAUUUUUGGCUGGGGGAGGGAAAUGUGAGUUUUGGCCUAGGAACGAGACAGCACUUCUGGUGUGUUUUAUUUGGUGGUGUAGGUGAGGCAGUCUGGGAGGAGGCAUAGUUCUCCACUGGCCAGGGAGUCUGGGUAAAAGCUGGAAGGGACAACUGCAGCCUCCUUUUCUGCAUCCUGCUUUCUCCUACAUUUGUCCACAUUCUCUCUCUUUUCCUGUAGCCUUUUCAUUUUUGUUCCUCAUGGUCCCAGCUCAAGCCAUGAAUCGAAUACCACAUUUCCCUCCUGCUUAUUGCUCAGGAAUUUAACUCAGGAGUUAAAAUGCAGUGUUACAAUUUGGCAGCAGUGGCACCUGCAGUUACAGCAGGGUGGGAUGAGAAUGGCAAGCGUUGGUGUUACGACCUUCAGCAGGUUUUUCAUUUCCUGUGCUAAGACUAGUGUUUUGUAUGAAAUGUAUACUGAUACCUAGCUCAAGUUUUAGUGGGUUGCGCAUGUCAUGCUUCUAAGCAAUGCAAUACUUGCCUUUCUUCAUUGACAUGGAAGGAAAAAUGAAUUAUUCAGUGUAUCUUUAAUGAUGUGCAGACUGAGGUAACUAGCUAUAGCUGCUACUCUCUUCCAUUCAUUUAGAAACACUGCUAGAGAAAGUGACAGUUUGCCAUAAUCUCCAUAUACUAUAUCUUCCAUGCAUGAGGAGGGGGUGUUGAAAUGACCUUAUCAACAAUCUGUGAUACUUGUUGUGACAAGGUUGUUAACUGGAAGAUACAGAUUGUCCUGUAGACAAAUUGUUGCUUUGCAAGGUAUUCUUCUGUUGAGAACACGGAAUCAUACACCACGUCAUUGCACCUCAUGCUCCACCAAGUCUGUGUGGAACAUCUUGAAAAUUCAGAAUUUAAUUGCUGGGAAUUCAUGAUUUGUUAUAAAAGUAAAGAAAAGUCCUAACUUUGUUUACUGGUGGUGAGAAGACAGUAGCUCCUUCCCAUAAAAUUAAAAUGUGUUUGAAAUCCCCAAUAAGCUGCACAGUCAGGCUCUGUUUUCUGCAUUUCUUUGCUGUCUUCCUUCUUGUGUCCUUUCCUAUCUAGGAGAGACUCCAGUCCGACAAGAGGCUCUUUAGAUGUUGGGAUUUGAAUCCCCCCAUAGGCAGAGGAGGGAAACCAAAUUGGGGAAUUCCACUUCUGGGACAGGCACUCGGUGCAUGACAGGUGGGGAGCUUUAGAUAAACAAGUCAUUGCCUUGGUGGUUCUGGUACUUCAGGGCCAGGCAGCAGCUGAUUGCAGAAUCAGUUAUGGACUGGCUCUGGGCUCUAGUUUCUACCUGAGUCCCACUCUAGCCACUCAUAUCUUUCUUGAAUUCAGUUGCAGGGGCUGAGUCUUUUAUAAAGCUUGUCUUGUCUGUUUUCCAGAUCACUGAGUUGUCUCUUCCAGAUCAGCCAAGUUACACGCUGGGUUCCUGUGACAGUCCAUACGUGAAAUCUGGAAGAGUUAUCAAACUCUGUCUGAGGGAUCUGAGCCCAGAAAAAAGCAGCUUGGAAAUCCUUUUCAAAAUGUGCUCCUUUUUCCUCCUUAAUUCCGAGUUCCCUAUCUGCAGAUCCAAAGUGAUGCAAGUUUAUGCAUCAUAAAGCAAAAUGGAAAUUUUUUGUUUUAUGAUCAUUUCUAGAAACAUCUUGAAAGUCUUAAUAUGUGGAAAACAUCUUAUACUGAAAAA